GGACUACUGGGGUUUCUAAUCCUGUUUGCUCCCCUGGCUUUCGUGCCUCAGUGUCAGGUGUUGUCCAGGGACUCGCCUUCGCCACUGGUGUUCCUCUCGAUCUCUACGCAUUUCACUGCUACACCGAGAAUUCCAGUCCCCCCUCCAACCCUCAAGCAAAGCAGUUUCCAAUGCCAUUUCCGAGUUGAGCUCGGAGAUUUCACAUCCGACUUACUUCGCCACCUACGCACCCUUUACGCCCAGUGAAUCCGAACAACGCUUGGGACCUCUGUAUUACCGCGGCUGCUGGCAC
rnacentral:rRNA from 2 species